CUCCUGACCCAAGUGUACAGCUCCGGUGGCGCUCGGACCCACCAACGCUACCGAGCAAACAUUUUUACAAAAAAGAAAAAAACAAAUGUUUUGGGAGUGAGCAUAGGACAGGGGAGGGGAGCUGCAAUUGUUACUCUCACCUUGCAUUUAGGAAGGGCAGGUAUGAAACAUUUUUAAGGUGACAAAAACAGAACCAAAGAUAGGGAAGAAGAAAAGCUCACCAGUUCUAUUCAGCAAAAACUAAACAACUCACAGGUGUUCGGAAGUAGAAGGCAGUUCCGUCCAUUUUCUACAUGAUGGCUAAUACAGUGUUUACAUCAAAGGCAAAAUUUAAUUUCCAUUGUCCCUUUGUGAUCCCCCUCAUACAGGAUAAACUGAUGAGAAUUAUUAGGGAAGGAGGGAUUAAAACAAACAAGAUCCUAGUAAAGCUCCCAACCUCUGUUUUCAUUUUCUGAAGGCUAGAUACCUAAUUGAUUUCACUGAAAGCAUAAAAACAUUAUAUUUCUUAGAAGUCUAACAGAUUUGAACGAGCCAUAACAGAAAAGAAGUCCUGAAGUGAUAAAAAUGUAAGCCCUUGUUUUGGCAUUUUAAAAAAUUGGUCUCAAUUCCACAAACAUGCUUAAGUUUCUUUGCAAAAAACUGCCGAGAUCAAUACAAAUUCCUUCCAAUGCUGGCCAAAGUAGAAGACCUGUCACCCAAAUUAAUUAACCUUUCCUCAAGAUCAAUUGGUUUUCUGUUGAUUUAGCAGUAAUAUUGUAGAACAUUUAGCUAUAAUGUAUUUUAAUGUGAUCCCUCAAUGUCAACAGGAAAAAAUUCGUUGAAAAAUAAAAUAGCUUAAAUAAGUUAGUAGA
rnacentral:lncRNA from 1 species